ACUCCUACGGGAGGCAGCAGUGGGGAAUUUUGCGCAAUGGGGGAAACCCUGACGCAGCAACGCCGCGUGGAGGAUGAAGUCCCUUGGGACGUAAACUCCUUUCGACCCGGACGAAUAAGGACGGUACCUGCGGAAUCAGUCACGGCUAACUACGUGCCAGCAGCCGCGGUAAAACGUAGGUGGCAAGCGUUAUCCGGAUUUACUGGGCGUAAAGGGUGUGCAGGCGGGGGAACAAGUGGUGUAUGAAAUAUCCCAGCUUAACUGGGAAGGGUUAUGCCAGACUGUUUCUCUAGAGGACGAGAGAGGGGGGUGGAAUUCCGGGUGUAGUGGUGAAAUGCGUAGAGAUCCGGAGGAACCCCAGAGGCGAAGGCGGCCCCCUGGCUCGUACCUGACGCUCAGCCACGAAAGCAUGGGGAGCGAACGGGAUUAGAUACCCUGGUAGUCCACGCUGUAAACGUUGGGUACUAGGUGCCUGGGGGAGCGACCCUCUGGGUGCCGAAGCUAACGCAUUAAGUGCUCCGCCUGGGGAGUACGGCCGCAAGGCUGAAACUUAAAGGAAUUGACG
rnacentral:rRNA from 1 species